rnacentral:rRNA from 1 species
ACCUAGUCCCACCACGCCCCCAAGGGUAUUCAGCAGUGAUAAAUAUUGUAUAUAAGCGCUAGCUUGAUUCAGUCACAGAGAAGAGAGCCGGCCAACUUUGGUGCCAGCCGCCGCGGCUAGACCAACUGGACUCAAAUUGAUGACCCUCGGCGUUAAGCGUGAUUAAAGCUAUAUUAAAUUAGAGUUAAACCUGCAUUUAGUAGUGAAAAGCUCGUGACAGGGAGACCCAGAAACGAAAGUUACUCUAAUCCACUUGAAUACACGACAGCUAGGAAAACAAACUGGGAUUAGAUACCCCACUAUGUCUAGCCGUAAACCAUAAACUCACACCAACCACGCCAGGGAAUUACGAGCUUUAGCUUAAAACCCAAAGGACUUGACGGUGCCCCACCCAGCUAGAGGAGCCUGUUCUAUAAUCGAUGAUCCCCGCUUAACCUAACCCUUUCUUGCUUUAUCAGCCUGUAUACCUCCGUCGUAAACCCGCCAUAUGAAUGUUUUUAGCGGAUUCAAUGGCCUUAGCCACCAGCACGUCAGGUCAAGGUGCAGCCAAUGAAAGAGGUAAGCAAUGGGCUACAAUUUCUAAUCUAGAACAUACGAACUACUGCAUGAAAACACAGUCAUGAAGGAGGAUUUAGUAGUAAAAAGAAAUCAGCGAGUUCUUUUUAACAUGGCCCUGGGGCGUGUACACA